ACCCGCUGAACUUAAGCAUAUCAAUAAGCGGAGGAAAAGAAACUAACAAGGAUUCCCUUAGUAACGGCGAGUGAAGUGGGAAUAGCUCAAAUUUGAAAUCUCUUAGGGUUCCCCUAAGCGAAUUGUAAUUUCUAGAAGUGUUUUCUGAACAAGAUAAAGUGUAAGUCCUUUGGAAAAAGGUAUCAUAGAGGGUGACAAUCCCGUCUAUCACUUUAUUUUAUUGUUCUAUGUGAUACACUUUCAAAGAGUCGGGUUGUUUGGGAAUGCAGCCCUAAAUGGGUGGUAAAUACCAUCUAAAGCUAAAUAAUGGCGAGAGACCGAUAGCGAACAAGUACCGUGAGGGAAAGAUGAAAAGAACUUUGAAAAGAGAGUUAAAUAGUACGUGAAAUUGUCAAAAGGGAAACGUUUGAAACCAGUAUUUUAUCCUUUUAGAUUUUGGUCCAAUUUCUUGAAGUUGGGGUUCCAAUCUUUUUGGAUGGUCAACAUCAAUUUAAUUUGAAGGAAAAAGUUUAAAGGAAGGUAGCCAUUCAUUUUUAAUGUUUGGUAUUAUAGACUUUAAAGUAAUACUUUGAAUUAGAUUGAGGACUAUAGUAAUUUUUUAGGAUUAAGAGAUUGCCUUUUAAAAGUUUAAGAUUAACAGCAUGCUGAUAAUUUUAAAUAAUUUUGAAAGCUCAGUUUUUUAUUUCACUAUAUUACUUUGGAUGUUGACGAAAUGGUUUUAAAUGACCCGUCUUGAAACACGG
rnacentral:rRNA from 1 species